GAAAGAUCUCUUUCUGGAGAAGGAUCUUUUGUUGGUGAAGCUUUCUUCUGUAAGCCUGGAAUCUUCUGAUACGUCAACGCAGUACCAAAGCACAACAGGUGACACAAAGGACCAGGAGGCAAGCAAGGCUAUCCAUGGAGUUCACAGGGAACCCCUAUAUUACCACAUUUAAAAGCAACAUCCGCUGAGUUUGUUUUUUUUUUCUGUGAAACUCAUCAUGGAAAUGUUAACAAAGUAAGGGUGAGCUGGACCACUGGCACAGACUGAGGCAAGUGUGUCAUUCAGAUGAGAUUUCCGCAAAGCAUUUUAUGAAAGACUUCUCCAUAGGGAGAUUGCUGCUGUUUGUAGUGCUACUUCAAGUCCUCAAAAGAUUGUCUUCAAGUCUAUUAACAUGAGCCGAAAACAGAAGGUAAGGAAGAGGGAAGUUAUCUUCCAGCAGCUUGGUAUCCAGGGAGUUAAAAAAAUAUGCAGACCAUCAGCCUUUGAAAAUCUUCCUGCCUACAAGCCUUUUGCAGCAUCUUCUAUUAUGUAUAAAGUGUUUGCUGGCUUCCGUCUCCAGCUUUCACAAAGAAAAAAAAUAAAAAUCUCAAUUGACACUAAUUGGUUGCAGUCUCAACAAAAUGUCAAGGAUUAAAGGUGGAAAAAGCCACAACUAACCUUCUGCUUGCAAAGUUGCUUUCACCAUGUGUGGGAGGAAGAAUGGUAGAGACGUGGUGGGAUAAAGUUCACAUUGCUUUAUUCCAGAGCUACAGAAAUAGCUGUCCCAAGGAAAAGGCCAAAGGACUUCUAUGCCCAGGGAUUUCAAGCCUUCACCUUUCCUGCAUUUCCCUCAGUGAUUUUUAUAAAUAAUUACCAACAUGCCAUUAACUACAGCAUUAUGCAACAGCCUUCACCAAGUCAAGCCUUUCCAUCUAUAUCAAGCAGGAAAUAUAUCUCAAAGUCAAGAGGAAAACUGCAUUAGGCAACAUGAUGGCAACUCUAAGCCUUCUGGAUAUAUUGCACCAUAAAUACUAGCAACCUCUGUGUUAGAGCUUUUAUCAAAUCCUGGUCCUGUAUGUAAGAGACUGGGGCUUCCACAAAUCAGUAAAAUGAUACCAUAAAUCACUCUUUCUGAUGUCACAUUAUUCUGAACUGCCAUCCAAAAAGAACACAGGAUAGUCAAUAGUUGGUAUGAUAGAUUGAGCAGCCACUCCAGCAGCUUUGAAAC
ensembl:lncRNA